rnacentral:rRNA from 1 species
GGGUCAGUAGGUUGGUCGUGCCACCGGUACGUACUGGUCUCACUGAUUCCUCCUUCCUGAAGAACCGUAAUGCUAUUAAUUUGGUGUUGCGGGGAAACAGGACUGUUACUUUGAAAAAAUUAGAGUGUUUAAAGCAAGCCAACGCUUGAAUACAUUAGCAUGGAAUAAUGAAAUAGGACGAUCGAUCCUAUUUUGUUGGUUUCUAGGAUUGACGUA